UUCUCAAAAAAUGAGGGCCUCUGAAAAACGAGGGCCCGGGGCGAAUUGCCCCCUUUGCCCCCCCUCUCUACGGCCCUGUUUCGACUUGAGUACAUACAUCAAAAAAAUCAAUUUCGCUUCUCAUGACUGUGGUGCGCCAGCGCCAGAAUCAACAUGCGACUACUCGAGGGUUAAAUGCGGCAACGUUGCACAUGCACAAAUUCCUUUCUACACAACUUUUGCUAAUAGAGUCGUAUUUAUUGAUGACCAACAGUGUUUUUAUUUUUUCACCAACGUGUGUCCCGAUGACGGAACGAACUGUGUAACUUGUAAGGAAACUUACUGACUGAUGAAGAAUGGGUGUGUGACGUGUGUGUAUGAAUGCUUUUAGUAAGAAUAUGUACAGUGAGGGUGGAAAUGGUAUGUCUCAUGUCUGUGUAGAAGGGUGCAAGAGAUAUGUGUGGCGACUCGCGAAAGCGGUUUUGGUGGAGAACAUGGUUUAGAUGGAACACAUGUAGUGAAAUGUGGCUGGAAUACGAAGGUUAUUUAUAAAUGUAUUAAAUGCUCAGGGUAUUCAACAAAACUCUACCUUACUUAUUCACGAAUAAUACGUAGGAAUGAAGAAAGAACUCGUUAGCCAUUGAGUGGUGGCAUGAAUCAAACCGCAUUUACAUAAGUACUAUUGAGGGAAUCACCAUACCACAACUGUUGUCAAGUUUUACCAAAUUUGCGAUUGAAAUGGUCCUAUCAUCACUUAUUGCUUUGCACACAAACAUACUAUACCACUAUACCAGAAAAUGUGUAAGAUCUGUAUUGCCAAAAAUCCGAUUCAAUAUCACCAUCCUUAAUCUGAACUACGCAUUUUUUGGAUGAUCGAUUCUGGUCGACUGAAGGAAUUAAUCUAUUAAAAAUCACAACUCUAUUCAGAGGGUAUUAUCUUCCCAAACAUUUACCUAUAAGUAAUUAUCUUGUAAGUACGUAAGUUUACGAUCACAGCCUUUAUUUCAUUUUGAAUGCAUUCAAUUCCUCUUCAUCAAGUAUUGACUUUUGAAUCAUUUCUAAUUUUGGUAAAUUUUCAAAUUAAAUGAUCUACUUAAUUCAUAAAUUUUGUCAGUUUAAAUUUCACUAGCCAUAAUUUGUAUAUCCCCCCCCCUCCUUCUUCAAAUUUAAUCAAAUCCACAUUCUUAUUUAAAAGAAAAUGUUUUUUAAAAAAUACUCCACGAUUGUGUUAAAUUUUCCAUUUUCAUUCUACAUAAUCAUUCAUUUUUUCACAUCCGAGAAAGGCGAUUUUUCUAUCAUUCCUAGCAGCAAGUGAUAAAUGAGAAAAUGCAGAUUGUGUUAUCGUGAAGCCACGCCUUCGUAUGAAUGGUAUUCAUACAAUGUACUCUGAACUCCGCAAUUGGCGUAAUUACAUUCAGUGCUUCACUAGCUCGCCGUCAACAAGGCAGCGAUGUGCACGGAAUGCGUGAACCGCUCGUGGCCCACGAACUAUCAGCAUAAUAUUAUUUUCUAUCUAACACGUAACAAAUAUACCUACAGUUUUCCCAACUCUCCGACCAUUGUCCACAUAGCCAUUAUAAGCCUCAAGUAGGAACCAAACAAUCUCAUGAUAUAAAGGAUAGUAGAAAUAGAAAUACUUGUUCAACGACUUCAGACAUAGGGAUUUUCAAUCCAAAAUUGAUAACAGAUAACUUGAUUUUAUACGUUAUCAUUUUUCAUAAUUUCAUGUGUAGAGGAAGCAAUUUAAUCCUUUCAAGUGCUCUAUCAUUUUUCGUAAUUUCAUGUUUAGAGGAAGCAAUUUAAUCCUUUCAAGUGCUCUACAAAAGCAAAAAUUGUUUGAAAAUUUGUAGAAGCUAAGAUUAUUAACACGUCUGAAAACGAUGCAAUUUUUUCGACCCAAUUUAAAAGUACAUCUUUUAAAUAAAUAGGUACACACGAGUCAUUUAUAUGGACAUGUAAUAAGUGUAGCUUCAGGUCAACUACUCACAGGAGAGAAUUCAGUGUACCAUAAGCAAUGUCACUUGUAGGUUUAGAUAGUUCUUAGUUCCUGUUCCCAAUAGAGUUAUGCGGCACAAGCAAAUGAUUUUUGGAAAUUUCAAAAAUGAGGUCAGUAAAAGGGUCAAUGACCUCAGGUCAGCCAGGUAUAUAGACAGGUGGGGCCAGUCAGAUGGUUUAAUGAUCUUCUGAGGCCAGACAGACAGACAAGAAGGCACUUGGAUAAACUUGAGAGGCUGGACAGACAAGACAGAAGACGAUGAGAAGCUAGACAGAAGUAUCCACUUUGAGGUAUCAAGAAAUAUCAAUAUUGGAAAAUUGAUACUUUUGGAUGGUCCAUAUUCCCUGAAUAUCAACACACAGAAUUGAUAUUUUUCAACAGUAUCAAAAUUUCUAGGCGUGAAUCAUUGAAGUCCAAACUCUACACUCCCUAAAAAUUAUUUCUACAAUUCUACCUACUUAAUUGAGAAUUUUUCCCUAAAAAACUGUUUUUGUUUUUUCUCAGAAAAAUUGCUCAAGUAAGUACCAAAUUUUUAGAACCAAAAUUCAUAUAAGUAAGCAUCAGUUUUCAAUAUUUAUAAUAAAGUAUCAAUACUCAAUCAAGUCUCACACCAAAAUUUAGAUGUGAUACUCUCAUAGAUGUAGGGAGUCUUACUCCUACACAUAUAAUAAUGUAUUGAACGAAAAAUAAAAUAUGGUAUACAAAAUAUGAUAUUUCACUGUAUUUCUAGCUAAGAAGGAAGAAAAUACAAAAAUAGGUAUAGUAUCAAAUUUCAAUUUCAGAAUAAAAUACCAACCCAUAUUAUAUGGUUAAUAGAAAGCAUAUCAUACAGAAAAAUAAAAUAUGUACCAGUAUUUUUACAUCUCUCCUUACCUGCCAAAAUAUAAAUACCCAUUGGUUUUAUGUCAUGUAAUAAAUUUCAGAACAUUGACCCAGGUGUGCUAUACAAUACAUAUUUGCACUUUGGAAAAUCCUUCAAAUGCCACUUUGGUGAAAUCAGCACAUGGUUUUGUGUGCAGGGAAUAAUUAUAUCAUGAUCAAAAAAUUUUUCAAUCAUUGGCUCAUUGCUUAUGCAUCUGCAAAACAGCAAUUAUUCCACGAGGGGGCAGAAAUCUUAGUAACUAAGUAUGCAGUAUGUAUGUUUAAAAUAAUACUGUAUAUUUUGACAAUCCUACAACAAUUCAAUACAGGAAAUGAUGGGGUGGUGAUUAUCACCAUCAUGUGCAAUCACCAUUUUCUUAUAAGUUUGAAUUUAUUGAGAUACUGUAGAUAAAUAAUGGUACAAAUUUACAGAUUUAGUGAUUACAAUACUCAGAAGAAAUUAUCAAUACUCAGCAGUUUCAAAAAGAGACUGAAAUUUUCAAUAUUGGUAUUGGUGUAUUGUCAAAUUGAUGAUACCUAUUUGAUAUUUUCAUCUUUUUGAAUUUUUUUUAGCGUUCCUUCACUUUAGAAACAAAAAGGUGAAAAUUUCAAAAUUUGGUCUGAAUUUACUUCAUUUCACCAAAAAAAAAUUUAAAAAAAAACUGGAAAUAUAUAAUCGCACGACAGAAAAAGAUGUUUGAACAACAACAGAAAAGGGUGUUUGAACAACGACAGAAAAGGGUGUUUGAAGGACAACAGCAAACGACAAUAAAAGCGGUGGUAGCGACAACUUAGGUCUUUACAACAACACGUUUUCAACAACAAAAUUAUGAGUCAGCACAACUAUUUUUAAAUAUGAAUCAUGACAACUCCUCCCACCAAAAAAGCAUGUUGAAGCGACAGAAUAAAAUUUUAAAUGACAGAACAAUGUACGACCAAUUGUGUAUCUGAUAAUACAUGAAAAAGUGAUGAUGAAUAAAAUAUUGGAUUGGGAAGCUAGCAAAAUAAUUAGAAAUUGCUCUAAAAUUACUGCAAAAACUGUGUGACAAUUUUCAAAUGUGAAGUGUGAGCUUCCUAUGGACUUAUUGAGAUUGCAAUUUGCACAAUAAUAUAUGUACCACCGUGUUCCAUAAUAAUGAAAAUGUGUCAAUUUUUGCAAAAAAAAAAUGAAAUUUAUGACACUUUAUGACAUUCAUUUUCAAAAACAUGGUGUGUGUGAUGUGACAUACAAGUCAAAAAACACUUCAUUUUAUGAAAAUUACUAAUUUUUGCUUUCAUUUUAUUCGAUUUGUAACUUUUUUGGUAAAUAUAGGCAUGUUAAUAGAUAUUUCUGUACUGAUCUUUUUUUACUAUUGUUUUUUGUUGUUCAAUUUAUUCAACUGCCGUUCAAUUUUUUAUUUGUAGUCAAAUAUAUUUUUGUUGUUCAAUUUUUUUUUCUGUGAUUCAAUUUCUUUUUUGAUCGGGCACUUAUUUUAUUUGUCAGGUCUGUCAUUUAGACCACCUUUUCUGUCCUGCGAUUCACCUAUUCUGUCCUAAUGAUAAAUCACGGCCUAAACGUAAUUUCCCUGCAGGUUGCCUAUCUGUACAUACUUUGUGGGAUAAAUCAUACCCAAAAAAAAACUUCAAGAAAAUGGUAACAUUUUAGACUGUGAUGAAAGAAAACUUGA